rnacentral:tRNA from 1 species
ACCUGGGUGGCUCAGUCGGUUGAGCGCCUGACUUCCGUUCAGGUCCUGAUCUCGCGGUUCGUGGGUUCAAGCCCCGCAUCAGGCU